GGGGGAUAUUGCACAAUGGAGGAAACUCUGAUGCAGCAACGCCGCGUGAGGGAAGACGGUCUUCGGAUUGUAAACCUUUGUCUUUGGUGACGAUAAUGACGGUAGCCAAGGAGGAAGCUCCGGCUAACUACGUGCCAGCAGCCGCGGUAAUACGUAGGGAGCGAGCGUUGUCCGGAUUUACUGGGUGUAAAGGGUGCGUAGGCGGCGCCGCAAGUCAGGUGUGAAAACUAUCGGCUUAACUGAUAGACUGCAUUUGAAACUGUGGUGCUUGAGUGGAGCAGAGGCAGGCGGAAUUCCCGGUGUAGCGGUGAAAUGCGUAGAGAUCGGGAGGAACACCAGUGGCGAAAGCGGCCUGCUGGGCUUUAACUGACGCUGAGGCACGAAAGCAUGGGUAGCAAAC
rnacentral:rRNA from 1 species